GAUGAACGCUGACAGAAUGCUUAACACAUGCAAGUCGAUGGGGAAGUGGUGCUUGCACCCUGGCAACCAUGGCGGACGGGUGAGUAACGCGUAAGGGACUUACCUGCAGGACUGGGAUAACAGGGGGAAACUCCUGACAAGACCGGAUAAUGUCAUGGAGCUGCAUGGCUUUAUGAUGAAAGGAGACGCCUGCGGAGAGCCUUGCGUCCUAUUAGCUAGUUGGUGAGGUAAUGGCUCACCAAGGCGAAGAUAGGUAGCCGGCCUGAGAGGGUGGACGGCCACAAGGGGACUGAGAUACGGCCCUUACUCCUACGGGAGGCAGCAGUGGGGAAUAUUGGACAAUGGGGGCAACCCUGAUCCAGCAAUUCUGUGUGCGCGAAGAAGGUUUUCGGAGUGUAAAGUGCUUUCAGCAGGGAAGAAGUAAGUGACGGUACCUGCAGAAGAAGCGACGGCUAAAUACGUG
rnacentral:rRNA from 1 species